GUACCCUGUACCCCCUGCAGUGGAAGCGGGGUCUUAACCAUGGACCACCAGGGGAAGCUCUACCCCAUUGGAGUUGCCUGAUAGACCCGCAGGGAUUUUGGCAAACGCUGAGUUUCUGGGAGAAGAACACAGAGUGGAGCCUUUGGGAAGAAGACUCAGGACUCUGUGGUCACAUGUCUCAACAAGGCUUUCUGAAAUGGACCUGCACCAGCCUGUGUGCUAUGAGGCCUCUGGGUCUGAAUUUGCCACAACAGCUGGUCAACCUUUUCUCUGGAGGGUGUCAACUACAAAUUGGCAUUUUCCAUUGGCACUUGCCAUCUACCUCUACAAAGAUUAAAUCGUGCUGCUGCAGCUGCUGACUUUCAACACCCCUUGAAAGGAGUUCAGGGUGGAGAGCUGAAAUGAGGCACUCUGUGCUCUGGGAAAAACUGGCAGAACAGGUCUUCAGAUAGUUAGAUAUUUUCAGGAGCCAAUUUUAUGAGCCCAAUUCUUGUAUCUCCUCAUAUCUAGAAAAGCACUAAAAUCCUUCAUGGUGACGUCUGCUCCUUGUGACUAGCAGUAACCUACACGAGACUAGCAGAAACCUUCUGUAAAAACUAUGUGCUUGAUUGCAUGUAUUCCCCCUUCACCAAAAUCAUUUAUAUACUAACCUUCCCCCCUGCCUCUUUGGAGCAGUUUCUCAGAGCUAUCUGGUACGCUGUCUACUGGG